UUGUCAUUUUUUAUAUUCAUGAAGGUUUAGACUACACAUUCCAAAUAGGCUGUUUUGUUGUCAAUUUUUAUUUUCAUGAAUGUUUAGACUACAAUUCCAAAUAGGUUGUUUUGUUGUCAAUUUUUAUAUUCAUGAAGGUUUAGACUACAAAUUCUAAAUAGGUUUGUUUUAUUGUCAACUUUUAUAUUCAUUAGGGUUUAGAAAAGCAUGUCUGUCAUUAUUAUUAGAUUAGAUUUACAGUAGAUGUAGCAUUUUUCCCAUUGUUGAAUCUAGAUUUUUGUUGUAGUUGAUUUUUUUGUUUUAAUUUAGAUAUGCAGUUUAGAAAAAAAAAUGUCAGUCAUUUUUACUAGAUUUAAUUUACAGUAGAUGUAGUUAUUUUUUUUACAUUGUUAAAUCUAAAUUUUUGUUUUUAAUUUAGAUAUUCAAUUGUGUGUAUUAACUAGUCAUUUUGUAUUUGUGCCAAUGAAUUUUAUUUACAAAACACUCAAUAUAUGUGCCAUUAAUAGCAUUAUUACAAUACAUCAUAAAUUAGGUAAACUUAUAGAAAUCUUAAAACAUGCAUACCCCCCUUUUUACUUUUUCAUAAAUAUCACAUAUCAUGUUUAUAUGUGCCUAUAAACUGUGAUAAAUUUAUUUUAAAUACAACACUAAAUAGCUGUAUUGUUUGCUCAUUAUAUGUGACCAUAUUAUGUAGUUCUACUUAUUAUUUUAAAAAAAAUAAUACUUAUGGUGCUUAUUUGAACAAUACUCUUUUUUUUUUAAUAUUUGUUAUAGAUGCAUUUCUUUAUAAUGUAGAUCAUUGAUAAAUUUUUUUAUUGUCUAGUUUUAUACUUAUGAUGUUAUUAUUAUUAUGUUUUUAUAAAAUUUUAUAUACCAUUAUUAUUAAACUACCUCAUUUCAUUGCUGAUGGUUUUUUUGGACAAAAAUUCAAAUGCAAAGUGUUGUUGCCACUUCUGUUAUAUAAAAUUUAUACACUGUUAUUGUUUAAACUACUGCAUUUUAUACAGAUUAUGACAUUAUGUACCUUAUUUAAUUCCUCUGAUGUUUUUACUACAAAUUCCAGAUGUGAAAUGUUUUUGAAAGAACCGAAAUAUAUCCCAUAUCAAGAACACUUUGAUAUCAUUGUUUUUGUUUGAAUGUUUUAAUACACUAUUAAUGUUAAACUACUACAUUUUAAUCCAAAUGCUUUCAUACAGAAAUCCAAAUCCAAAUCUGGUGUUGAUUUAAUAUGAUCAUUUUAAAUACUUUUUUUUGUUUUUGUUGUUGUUGUAUAUUUUGUUAUAAUUACUGUUUCAAAUAAUAAAAAUGUUUAUUAAA